GACGAACGCUGGCGGCGUGCUUAACACAUGCAAGUCGAACGGAAAGGCCCUGCUUUUGUGGGGUGCUCGAGUGGCGAACGGGUGAGUAACACGUGAGUAACCUGCCCUUGACUUUGGGAUAACUUCAGGAAACUGGGGCUAAUACCGGAUAGGAGCUCCUGCUGCAUGGUGGGGGUUGGAAAGUUUCGGCGGUUGGGGAUGGACUCGCGGCUUAUCAGCUUGUUGGUGGGGUAGUGGCUUACCAAGGCUUUGACGGGUAGCCGGCCUGAGAGGGUGACCGGCGACAUUGGGACUGAGAGACGGCCCAGACUCCUACGGGAGGCAGCAGUGGGGAAUAUUGCACAACGGGCGGAAGCCUGAUGCAGCAACGCCGCGUGCGGGAUGACGGCCUUCGGGUUGUAAACCGCUUUCGCCUGUGACGAAGCGUGAGUGACGGUAAUGGGUAAAGAAGCACCGGCUAACUACGUG
rnacentral:rRNA from 1 species